GACAGAGGUUGCAAACGUUGUUCGGAAUUACUGGGCAUAAAGCGCACGUAGGUGGUUCGCUAAGUCGGAUGUGAAAUUCCCCGGCUCAACCGGGGAACGGCAAUCGAUACUGGCGGACUUGAGGUCCGGAGGGGUGAGUGGAACUCCUGGUGGAGCGGUGAAAUGCGUAGAUAUCAGGAGGAACACCGGUGGCGAAAGCGGCUCACUGGCCGGAAUCUGACACUGAGGUGCGAAAGCUAGGGUAGCAAACGGG
rnacentral:rRNA from 1 species